UNGCAAACUUUUAAAGCUGAGGUAGCUG
rnacentral:piRNA from 1 species